CAAUAGCGUAUAUUUAAGUUGUUGCAGUUAAAAAGCUCGUAGUCGGAUUUUGGCUGAGACCGAUCGGUCCGCCGUUAGGUGUGCACUGAUUGGUCUCAGCUUCCUGGUGAGGAGGUGUGCUUCACGGCCACUUAGUCACCGUGGUUACUUUGAAAAAAUUAGAGUGUUCAAAGCGGGCUUACGCUUGAAUAUAUUAGCAUGGAAUAACACCAUAGGACUCCUGUCCUAUUUCGUUGGUCUCGGGACGGGAGUAAUGAUUAAGAGGAACAGUUGGGGGCAUUCGUAUUUCAUUGUCAGAGGUGAAAUUCUUGGAUUUAUGAAAGACGAACUUCUGCGAAAGCAUUUGCCAAGGAUGUUUUCAUUGA
rnacentral:rRNA from 1 species